UAGAAUUUAGAAAUAAUAAACAAUUUAUAUAAGUUAAAAAUUUAAAAUAUCGAUUACGAGUAGCUAGCUGGUAGGUAAUGAAUGAUGUAUUGAUGUGUUUCUUUGUUUUUUAAGCAUCCAUAGUCCAGGCUUCAAUAAACAUUGUAACAAUAUUGCUAAUCAAAUAGUAGUUAAAACAGUAAAAAUGUAUAACUUAAAUAAUAUUUUAAUUUUCAACAAAUAUGAUCCUAUACUGUAUUGCCGAAUCUAUAUGUUAUGGUGCCAGUGUAACAAGCGACACAAAAUUAGCCAAAUUAAUAUCAUAUAAAAAAACACUAACUGUUUACCUAUAUCAAGCAAAAAACAUUUAAUUUGGAUUAAAAGGAAUCUAGAUUUCACUGUUAAAGAAUACAACACAACCUUGUACUGUAUAUGCUUCCAAACCAAUAAAAACAGUCAAUUGGAAAUUCUAAAAAAAAAUGUUGGAUUCAAAUACCAAAGUACCUAUACUGAAGCAUGCAAUAUACUAGUAGUGGAACAAAUUUUUUCCAUUAAAUGUUUAUGAAGUGCAGUUCUUAGCCCUAAUACCAAACUCAAUGUAUUGUAUGUAUUAGACAUUAAUGUUAUGGAAUACCUAUAAAUGCCAACAUGUCAAAUAAAAAAUAAAGUGACUGUUUACUUUGGAGUUUUGGGCUACUAAAUGAACGUUAAACAGUCUACAGUCAAUAUGAAUAUUUGACUACACUAUCAUUUGGAGGAUGGUAUACGAACCCCGCGCCGCCGCCUCCGUGAAUGAUACACGUCACGCGUAAUGCGCUGCGGCGCCGAUCAACCAAAUUUUAGAAAAAGCUCUUCGUCGUGUACAAUAGAUUAAAGCUUAUCCUAAUUCUGAAUAUUA
rnacentral:lncRNA from 1 species